AACGAACGCUGGCGGCAUGCCUAACACAUGCAAGUCGAACGAGACCUUCGGGUCUAGUGGCGCACGGGUGCGUAACGCGUGGGAACCUGCCCUUAGGUUCGGAAUAACUCCCCGAAAGGGGUGCUAAUACCGGAUAAUGUCUUCGGACCAAAGAUUUAUCGCCUUUGGAUGGGCCCGCGUUGGAUUAGCUAGUUGGUAGGGUAAAAGCCUACCAAGGCGACGAUCCAUAGCUGGUCUGAGAGGAUGAUCAGCGACACUGGGACUGAGACACGGCCCAGACUCCUACGGGAGGCAGCAGUGGGGAAUAUUGGAAAAUGGGCGAAAGCCUGAUCCAGCAAUGCCGCGUGAGUGAUGAAGGCCUUAGGGUUGUAAAGCUCUUUUACCCGGGAUGAUAAUGACAGUACCGGGAGAAUAAGCUCCGGCUAACUCCGUG
rnacentral:rRNA from 1 species